rnacentral:rRNA from 1 species
UACGUAGGGGGCUAGCGUUGUCCGGAAUCAUUGGGCGUAAAGAGCGUGUAGGCGGUCCGGUAAGUCCGCUGUGAAAGUCGGGGGCUCAAUUUUCGAAUGCCGGUGGAUACUGUCGGGCUAGAGUGCGGAAGAGGUGAGUGGAAUUCCUGGUGUAGCGGUGAAAUGCGCAGAUAUCAGGAGGAACACCUAUUGCGAAGGCAGCUCGCUGGGACGUAACUGACGCUGAGACGCGAAAGCGUGGGGAGCAAACAGG